GUAAAAACAAACAGAAAACCUUGAGAUUGAUCCUCAAGAAAGCCUGUUUCAAAAGCCAGUUUAUGUCAAUAUAGCACUUGGUUGGCCUUGUGAUCAUUUCUUCUUUUGCCUUGAAAAAAACAGCUUUCUGCCAGGCCCCACAGUGCACAAGAGCAGCUGCAGGAGGUCAAAGUUACAGAGAGUGAACUGUGUGCCUUUGGGAGCCCCACCCCCUGCCCUGCCGCCCAAUCAGAGACCUUCUGUCAGGAGAAGAGCCAGUCAUCCACACUUCCGCAUUUCAACAGGAUGUCACCUCUGACUGAGCGACUGGGAAUGAGUGGAACUUCCCAGACCGGCAUCGACUUCAUCUCGUUAAAACUCGCAAAGAGAAAUACACAAGAAUUCCCUGCCAAAAGGAACAGGUGUCUGUUUGUGCAUGCAAUAAUUUUAUUGUCUGAACUGUUUGAAAAACACGGGUUUAUUCAUUUUACCACGCAACAUAUGUUUAUACAAAAUAUACAAAAAGAACUGGAGAUGCCUCCUAGUCUUCCCUCUGAAUGAAUAUUAAUUU